rnacentral:tRNA from 1 species
CGGGGAGUGGCGCAGCUUGGUAGCGCACCUGCUUUGGGAGCAGGGGGCCGGAGGUUCAAAUCCUCUCUCCCCGACCA